rnacentral:rRNA from 1 species
CGGCGUCGAGCGGCGGACGGGUGAGUAAUGCCUGGGAAAUUGCCCUGAUGUGGGGGAUAACCAUUGGAAACGAUGGCUAAUACCGCAUAAUAGCUUCGGCUCAAAGAGGGGGACCUUCGGGCCUCUCGCGUCAGGAUAUGCCCAGGUGGGAUUAGCUAGUUGGUGAGGUAAUGGCUCACCAAGGCGACGAUCCCUAGCUGGUCUGAGAGGAUGAUCAGCCACACUGGAACUGAGACACGGUCCAGACUCCUACGGGAGGCAGCAGUGGGGAAUAUUGCACAAUGGGCGCAAGCCUGAUGCAGCCAUGCCGCGUGUAUGAAGAAGGCCUUCGGGUUGUAAAGUACUUUCAGCAGUGAGGAAGGUGGAUGCGUUAAUAGCGCAUUCAUUUGACGUUAGCUGCAGAAGAAGCACCGGCUAACUCCGUGCCAGCAGCCGCGGUAAUACGGAGGGUGCGAGCGUUAAUCGGAAUUACUGGGCGUAAAGCGCAUGCAGGUGGUUUGUUAAGUCAGAUGUGAAAGCCCGGGGCUCAACCUCGGAAUAGCAUUUGAAACUGGCAGACUAGAGUACUGUAGAGGGGGGUAGAAUUUCAGGUGUAGCGGUGAAAUGCGUAGAGAUCUGAAGGAAUACCGGUGGCGAAGGCGGCCCCCUGGACAGAUACUGACACUCAGAUGCGAAAGCGUGGGGAGCAAACAGGAUUAGAUACCCUGGUAGUCCACGCCGUAAACGAUGUCUACUUGGAGGUUGUGGCCUUGAGCCGUGGCUUUCGGAGCUAACGCGUUAAGUAGACCGCCUGGGGGAGUACGGUCGCAAGAUUAAAACUCAAAUGAAUUGACGGGGGCCCGCACAAGCGGUGGAGCAUGUGGUUUAAUUCGAUGCAACGCGAAGAACCUUACCUACUCUUGACAUCCAUAGAACUUUCCAGAGAUGGAUUGGUGCCUUCGGGAACUCUGAGACAGGUGCUGCAUGGCUGUCCUCACCUCGUGUUGUGAAAUGUUGGGUUUAAGUCCC